AGCAGCCGCGGUAAUUCCAGCUCCAAUAGCGUAUAUUAAAGUUGUUGCAGUUAAAAAGCUCGUAGUUGAAUUUCGGGGUUAGUAGGUUGGUCAUGCCUCUGGUAUGUACUGGUCUCACUGAUUCCUCCUUCCUGAUGAGCCGUAAUGCCAUUAAUUUGGUGUUGCGGGGAAUUUGGACUGUUACUUUGAAAAAAAUUAGAGUGUUUAAAGCAAGCUAACGCUUGAAUACAUUAGCAUGGAAUAAUGAAAUAGGACGUUCGAUCCUAUUUUGUUGGUCUCUAGGAUUGACGUAAUGAUUAAUAGGGAUAGUUGGGGGCAUUAGUAUUCAAUUGUCAGAGGUGAAAUUCUUGGAUUUAUUGAAGACUAACUACUGCGAAAGCAUUUGCCAAGGAUGUUUUCAUUAAUCAAGAACGAAAGUUAGGGGAUCGAAGACGAUCAGAUACCGUCGUAGUCUUAACCAUAAACUAUGCCGACUAGGGAUCGGGAUGAUGUUUUAAUUUUUAAUAGUACUCAUUCGGCG
rnacentral:rRNA from 1 species